rnacentral:rRNA from 1 species
GCCCUGCGGAGGAUCAUUACCUAGAGUUGUAGGCUUUGCCUGCUAUCUCUUACCCAUGUCUUUUAAGUACCUUACGUUUCCUCGGCGGGUCCGCCCGCCGAUUGGACAAUUUAAACCAUUUGCAGUUGCAAUCAGCGUCUGAAAAAACUUAAUAGUUACAACUUUCAACAACGGAUCUCUUGGUUCUGGCAUCGAUGAAGAACGCAGCGAAAUGCGAUAAGUAGUGUGAAUUGCAGAAUUCAGUGAAUCAUCGAAUCUUUGAACGCACAUUGCGCCCCUUGGUAUUCCAUGGGGCAUGCCUGUUCGAGCGUCAUUUGUACCUUCAAGCUCUGCUUGGUGUUGGGUGUUUGUCUCGCCUCUGCGUGUAGACUCGCCUCAAAACAAUUGGCAGCCGGCGUAUUGAUUUCGGAGCGCAGUACAUCUCGCGCUUUGCACUCAUAACGACGACGUCCAAAAGUACAUUUUUACACUCUUGACCUC